AUGUGAUCGUCUCUCGCAUAUCAAUAAGCGGAGGAAAAGAAACUAACAAGGAUUCCCCUAGUAACGGCGAGUGAAGCGGGAAGAGCUCAAAUUUGAAAUCUUAAAGGGUUUCCCUUUACGAAUUGUAGUUUAAAGAAGUGUUUUCUGUUGAGGUUUUGGUAAAAGUUCUUUGGAAUAGGACAUCAUAGAGGGUGAGAAUCCCGUAUUUGACCUUUACUUUCAACUUUGUGAUACACUUUCAAAGAGUCGGAUUGUUUGGGAAUGCAGUCCAAAAUGGGUGGUAAAUUUCAUCUAAAGCUAAAUAUUGGCGAGAGACCGAUAGCGAACAAGUACCGUGAGGGAAAGAUGAAAAGAACUUUGAAAAGAGAGUUAAACAGUACGUGAAAUUGUCAAAAGGGAAGCGUUUGACACCAGUGUUGUUUUUCUGAAAAUCAAUUAAAGAACUGUUUAUGCUAAGCUGUUUAGACUUUAUCAGCUAUCUGUUUAGUUUUGAGCUUUUCUUUAAUGCACUUUUCAGUUAACAAGUCAACAUCAAUUUCUUUUGCUGUAAAAAAGCUUGAGGAAGGUGGCUUGAGAUUCGUCUUAAGUGUUUAUAGCCUCUUGCCUAUGCAGUCGGAGAGAUUGAGGUCUGCAGCGUAGAUCCUUCGGGGCUAAAUGCAUUUGUGCUAAGUUAUAGCAUUUUAUAGACAACUUGUUGACUAUGAUUUGUCUUGUAGCUUACUCGCUUAUGUUAUUUUACCUACGCUUAGGAUGUUGAGCGCAUGUCUCUCUCU
rnacentral:rRNA from 1 species